AUUGCUUCUCAGCCUUUUGGCUAAGAUCAAGUGUAGUAUCAGUUAAUGUGUCUCUAAUCCAUUACUAGUAGUAAUAUAGAGAAUUUUUUGUUUGGCAAUAGUUUUA
ensembl:snRNA U2 U2 spliceosomal RNA